rfam:Gossypium raimondii Chr08_contig_1245, whole genome shotgun sequence.
UGUUAAAAAUUUCAUCAAUUUUUACUAUUAAAAACCGACAUUGCUAAUGAAAUAAACAGACAAUCACACGUGACAUACUGCAUAUACCUCAUACUGACAUAUAAGAACCAAUUUUUAAUAGUAAAAAUAGAUAAUUUUUUAACA